UACGUAGGGGGCAAGCGUUGUCCGGAAUCAUUGGGCGUAAAGAGCGUGUAGGCGGCCAGAAAAGUCCGCUGUGAAAACUCGAGGCUCAACUUCGAGCUGUCGGUGGAAACUUUCUGGCUAGAGUCCGGAAGAGGAGAAUGGAAUUCCUGGUGUAGCGGUGAAAUGCGCAGAUAUCAGGAAGAACCCCCGUGGCGAAGGCGGUUCUCUGGGACGGUACUGACGCUGAGACGCGAAAGCGUGGGGAGCGAACAGG
rnacentral:rRNA from 1 species